rnacentral:rRNA from 1 species
CAACCCCAAACAUCAACUAUAUCUCAACUCUUUGUCUGAAAAAUAUUAUGAAUAAAACAAUUCAAAAUACAACUUUCAACAACGGAUCUCUUGGCUCUCGCAUCGAUGAAGAACGCAGCGAAAUGCGAUACGUAAUGUGAAUUGCAGAAUUCAGUGAAUCAUCGAAUCUUUGAACGCAUAUUGCGCUCUUUGGUAUUCCGAAGAGCAUGCUUGUUUGAGUAUCAGUAAACACCUCAAAGCCUUUUUUUAUUAAGAGGCCUUGGACUUGAGCAAUCCCAACACUUUUUUGUUAAAGUGGCGGGUUGCUUGAAAUGCAGGUGCAGCUGGACAUUCUCCUGAGCUAAAAGCAUAUUCAUUUAGUCCCGUCAAACGGAUUAUUACUUUUGCUGCAGCUAAUAUAAAGGGAGUUUGACCAUUUUGGCUGACUGAUGCAGGAAUUUCACAAGAGUCUUCAAAAGCUCUUGUUAAACUCGAUCUCAAAUCAAG